rnacentral:rRNA from 1 species
AGUGAACGCUGGCGGUAGGCCUAACACAUGCAAGUCGAACGGCAGCACAGUAAAAGCUUGCUCUUACGGGUGGCGAGUGGCGGACGGGUGAGUAAUACAUCGGAAUCUACUUUUUCGUGGGGGAUAACGUAGGGAAACUUACGCUAAUACCGCAUACGACCUACGGUUGAAAGCAGUGGAUCUUCGGACCUUGCGCGAUUGAAUUAGCCGAUGUCGGAUUAGCUAGUUGGCGGGGUAAAGGCCCACCAAGGCGACGAUCCGUAGCUGGUCUGAGAGGAUGAUCAGCCACACUGGAACUGAGACACGGUCCAGACUCCUACGGGAGGCAGCAGUGGGGAAUAUUGGACAAUGGGCGCAAGCCUGAUCCAGCCAUACCGCGUGGGUGAAGAAGGCCUUCGGGUUGUAAAGCCCUUUUGUUGGGAAAGAAAAGCAGCAGGUUAAUACCCCGCUGUUCUGACGGUACCCAAAGAAUAAGCACCGGCUAACUUCGUG